AUUGAACGCUGGCGGCAUGCUUUACACAUGCAAGUCGAACGGUAACAGGCCGCAAGGUUCUGACGAGUGGCGAACGGGUGAGUAAUGCAUCGGAACGUGCCCAGUCGUGGGGGAUAACUACUCGAAAGAGUAGCUAAUACCGCAUACGAUCUAUGGAUGAAAGCGGGGGACCGUAAGGCCUCGCGCGAUUGGAGCGGCCGAUGUCAGAUUAGGUAGUUGGUGGGGUAAAGGCUCACCAAGCCAACGAUCUGUAGCUGGUCUGAGAGGACGACCAGCCACACUGGGACUGAGACACGGCCCAGACUCCUACGGGAGGCAGCAGUGGGGAAUGGUGGACAAUGGGCGCAAGCCUGAUCCAGCAAUGCCGCGUGCAGGAAGAAGGCCUUCGGGUUGUAAACUGCUUUUGUACGGAACGAAACGGCUCUGGUUAAUACCCGGGGCUAAUGACGGUACCGUAAGAAUAAGCACCGGCUAACUACGUG
rnacentral:rRNA from 1 species